GCCCCUGACUCUGGGAUAGCCUCGGGAAACCGGGAUUAAUACCGGAUAUGACAUCGCCUCGCAUGGGGUGGUGUGGAAAGUUUUUCGGUCAGGGAUGGGCUCGCGGCCUAUCAGCUUGUUGGUGGGGUGAUGGCCUACCAAGGCGACGACGGGUAGCCGGCCUGAGAGGGUGACCGGCCACACUGGGACUGAGACACGGCCCAGACUCCUACGGGAGGCAGCAAAGGGGAAUAUUGCGCAAUGGGCGAAAGCCUGACGCAGCGACGCCGCGUGAGGGAUGAAGGCCUUCGGGUUGUAAACCUCUUUCAGCAGGGAAGAAGCGAAAGUGACGGUACCUGCAGAAGAAGCACCGGCUAACUACGUGCCAGCAGCCGCGGUAAUACGUAGGGUGCAAGCGUUGUCCGGAAUUAUUGGGCGUAAAGAGCUCGUAGGCGGUUUGUCGCGUCUGCUGUGAAAACGCGGGGCUCAACUCCGCGCCUGCAGUGGGUACGGGCAGACUAGAGUGCAGUAGGGGAGACUGGAAUUCCUGGUGUAGCGGUGGAAUGCGCAGAUAUCAGGAGGAACACCGGUGGCGAAGGCGGGUCUCUGGGCUGUAACUGACGCUGAGGAGCGAAAGCGUGGGUAGCGAACAGGAUUAGAUACCCUGGUAGUCCACGCCGUAAACGUUGGGCGCUAGGUGUGGGGCUCAUUCCACGAGUUCCGUGCCGCAGCAAACGCAUUAAGCGCCCCGCCUGGGGAGUAC
rnacentral:rRNA from 1 species